rnacentral:rRNA from 1 species
CACGUAGGGUGCGAGCGUUUGUCCGGGAAUUAUUGGGCGUAAAGAGCGUCGUAGGCGGGUCUGUUGCGUCCGGAAGUGAAAUCCCGGGGCUUAACCCCGGGCUGCUUUCGAUACGGGGCAGACUAGAGUGUGGUAGGGGAGACUGGAAUUCCUGGUGUAGCGGUGAAAUGCGUACGAUAUCGAGAGGAACACCUGCGGCGAAGGCGGGGUUGCUGGGCUGAUA